rnacentral:rRNA from 1 species
UCUUGGUCAGGACGAACGCUGGCGGCGUGCCUAACGCAUGCAAGUCGAACGGAGCUGAGGAGCUUGCUCCUAGCUUAGUGGCGGACGGGUGAGUAACGCGUGAGUAACCUGCCUCUGAGAGGGGAAUAACGUUCUGAAAAGAACGCUAAUACCGCAUAACGUAUUGAAGCCGCAUGACUUUGAUACCAAAGAUUUUAUCGCUCGGAGAUGGACUCGCGUCCGAUUAGCUUGUUGGUGAGGUAACGGCUCACCAAGGCGACGAUCGGUAGCCGGACUGAGAGGUUGAUCGGCCACAUUGGGACUGAGACACGGUCCAGACUCCUACGGGAGGCAGCAGUGGGGGAUAUUGCGCAAUGGGGGCAGCCCUGACGCAGCAACGCCGCGUGAAGGAUGAAGGUUUUCGGAUUGUAAACUUCUUUUAUCAGGGACGAAAUUUGACGGUACCUGAUGAAUAAGCUCCGGCUAACUACGUGCCAGCCGCCGC